rnacentral:misc_RNA from 1 species
UUCAGAGGAGCUCCGGGAUGCGCUGUCGGCGUUCCAGCAGACGUUUGUGGUGUCUGAUGCGACGAAGCCGGAUAACCCGAUCAUGUAUGCCAGCGCUGGAUUUUUCAAGAUGACGGGGUAUCUCUCGAAGGAGGUGAUCGGGCGCAACUGCCGGUUUCUACAAGGCGCUGGAACAGAUUCAGCAGAGAUUUCAAAGAUAAGAGAAGCACUUGUUGCCGGACAAAGUUAUUGUGGUCGUGUAUUGAAUUAUAAGAAGGAUGGGACACCCUUCUGGAACCUUUUAACAGUAGCCCCGAUCAAAGAUGAAGCAGGAACUGUUCUCAAGUACAUUGGAAUGCAAGUGGAGGUUAGUAAGUAUACAGAAGGAUCAAAAGAUACAAUGCUCCGUCCAAAUGGAUUACCAGAG